rnacentral:rRNA from 1 species
ACGCUCGACACCUACGGGAGCAGCAGUUGGGAAUAUUGGACAAUGGAGGAAACUCUGAUCCAGUGACGCCGCGUGAAGGAAGAAGGUCUUCGGAUUGUAAACUUAUUUUGUCAGGGAAGAAAAAUGACUGUACCUGAAGAAAAAGACACCGGCUAACUACGUGCCAGCAGCCGCGGUAAUCUGAGCGGGCUGGCAAGGC